rnacentral:rRNA from 1 species
CCCUUAGAUGUUCUGGGCCGCACGCGCGCUACAAUGGUCUUCGCAAACGGAUGCAUUCUCGAAGGAGAAUGCCAAUCUUGGAAUCUAUGCCUUGGUCGGGACAGUUGCUUGCAAUUUUUCGACUCGAACCAGGAAUUCCUUGUAAUCGUGAUUCAUCACAUCACGAUGACUACGUCCCUGCCCUUUGUACACACCGCCCGUCGCUCCUACCGAUCGAAGAGUUAGGUGAAUUGUUUUGAUCGAUAAGAUUUGACUAUGGUCAACUCUCGUUGUGAAAUUCUGUGAAUCUGACUGUUUAGAGGAAGGAAAAGUCGUAACA